rnacentral:rRNA from 1 species
GACGAACGCUGGCGGCGUGCUUAACACAUGCAAGUCGAACGGACAGGCCCUGCUUUUGUGGGGUGCUCGAGUGGCGAACGGGUGAGUAACACGUGAGUAACCUGCCCUUGACUUUGUGAUAACUCCAGGAAACUCGGGCUAAUACCGGAUAGGAGCUCCUGCUGCAUGGGGGGGGUUGGAAAGUUUCGGCGGUUGGGGAUGGACUCGCGGGUUAUCAGCUUGUUGGUGGGGUAGUGGCUUACCAAGGCUUUGACGGGUAGCCGGCCUGAGAGGGUGACCGGCCACCUUGCGACUGAGAUACGGCCCAGACUCCAACGGGAGGCAGCAGUGGGGAAUAUUGCACAAUGGGCGGAAGCCUGAUGCAGCAACGCCGCGUGCGGGAUGACGGCCUUCGGGUUGUAAACCGCUUUCGCCUGUGACGAAGCGUGAGUGACGGUAAUGUGUAAAGAAGCACCGGCUAACUACGUG